rnacentral:lncRNA from 1 species
GCAAUCUUUUGCCUACACUCUUCGUGGAGAUACGAAAGACCCCUUGCUAUGUCUAAGAUAAUUUUGCGCCGAGUAUGCCAAUCAAGAAGGGAGAUUCGAUCCGCAUUGAAGAUCCAUUUAUCAAGCGAGCCGUUGCACAUGAAUUCGUAAACAAGAAGCCUAUGCGUUUUCUCAGCACAAAAUCCAACCAUCUUUGCUAGGUUAAUGUGGUGAAUGCUACCAAUAGUCUCAACCUCGGCUAAAAAUUCUUUCUUCCCUUGGCCUAUCCCAUCCAAACGCUUCACGGCGAUCUUUUCGUCGCCAAUUUUCCCCUCGAAAACCGACCCAAAUCCCCCCUCUCCGAGCUUCCUAGAGAAGUUCUCAGUAGCCUCUUUCAAUUCCUUGUAUGAGAACCGCUUUGGCAUUCCCGGGACUCGAUCCAAAAGUUCCUCCUCGUCCCCUUCCUCUUUAUUGCAUCUCCUUAGCCCGAGCACAAUUGCAAUGAUAAUUAACACUAUGAAAACUCCAGGUAGCACGAUACCCAGCACAAUUCCUGUUUUAGACUGCUUCUUAGUAAAAUCCGGGCUUUUUGAAGGGGCAGAAGCAGGGGGUGAGGGGAUUCUCUGCACCUUAACGUAUGCAGAAGAACUGUAAUGACUUAUCGCCGGCUGAUUCGUCUGCAUCGAGAAAAUCUCCGACGGCAAGAAGCAGCUACCAUGAGAAGUAUUUCCCCCACCGAACUGAAAAAACGCGGCUUUGCACGAACAAUUCUUCAAACAAGCCGUCCUGCAACUCUCUUCGCUGACCAUACUCUGAAACGCGGCCGCAUCGGGGUCGACAUAAUUGAAGUAAGAGACGUUAGUGAGAGGCAACAAUUCAUGAUCAUAUGAAAAUUCACAAGAUAAAGGAGUCAACGGCUCGCAACCGAGAUUAGCUUCCCGGUCGUUGACUUGCCGGAAAUAGUCAGUCGAAGGGCAGCUGCAUUGUCCGCCAUCCGUGCAAAUGCCGUAAUCACCGCACACCGUCGGAUAAGCGCAGUUGUCGGGGUACACAUCGAGCACGUCCUGCACCGCCCUCCACCCAGCGAUGCUAUUAUCGUAGAGCCUCAAGUGCCCGUCAGAAUCGAACCUCAUGUACUGAGCCAGGUUCGCCGGGGGUAGCGAGAUCGACGUGUUGGGCACGCCUGGUUGUGUGAAGGGAACAAAGACCGACAGGCUACCGUUGGUGAAGGUGACGGACGCCGACUUGUUCACGGCUUUCGCUCCGGUGAUGCCGUACUCGUAGUAGAGCUGCGGGGGAUCGGAGUCGACGUAGGCGCGGAAACCGUCGCGGAAGACGGCGAGGUAGAGUCUGUUUUCGGUGAAAUUCGUGGCGGAGACGUUGGCAGUGAGGCGCAUCCCUUCGGAAAGUGACUGGCCGAUGACGAGCGUGUCGGUGGGGUGGUCGAAGGACUGCCAGACAGGGCCGUUGGCGCGAUCGAAGAGCAGCAAGUUUCCGGCUUCCGUGAGGUUAAGACCUGUAACGCGUUCGUUCGACGUGUUCGUGGACCAUACGAGGGAGUUGUCGACGUCGCGGAGAAUCAAGUCGCCGGCUUGGGUGAGCUGGAGCGUGGCGUUCUCGCGGACGGGGCGGGCGCGGUUGGCGGACCAGACGACCUGCGGGGCAGCAUUGGGGGGGUUGCUGAGGAAGCCGCCGCUGUCGGUGUCGACGAUGAAUACGGAGAAGAGGAAGGCGUCGCAAGGGGCGACGCAGAAGAAGCCGCAGGCGAAGGAUGGGCUGUAUCCGGAGGGUUCCAUGCGGAGAAGGAUGGUGCGGACGGAGGAGCCGUCGGCGUAGGUGAAGUAGUCGCGGAGGGCGGAGGGGUUGUUGGUCCACACGGUGGAGAGGUUGGCGGUCGGAUAGUCGUAGGGAUUGGCGUGUGCGCGGAGAAAGCUGAGGAGAAAGCAGGAGGCAAUCUCGAGGAGGAAGAGGCAACGGCGCCGGAGAAGCCACAUGGUGGUGGUGGUGGUGGUGGUGGAUUAGUGGGUGGGGUGGAAAAUUCAAGAUCCAUGAGCCGAUCUAUACAUUGCUUUAUUAGAAUAUUCACACUAGCUAGAAUGGUCAUUGCCUGCUCUCGGUGCAUUCACGCGCACAUAUCUGGUAUCAAUCUUCUGCUCUACACCAGCUACUUGUUUCAUCGUAUACUUUAGAAAAAAAAUUCAAUGAUUUUACACUUACUAACUUUAUUAUCUUGUGGUUUAAAAGUGUAUCAAUUUAGUACUCUGUGAUUUCAAUUUUAUUUUUUAUCAUCGAUUCUACUAAUUUUUUUUAUUAAAUCAGUGGCAGAGUUAAAACUAAAUGAUACUGAAGUAAAUAUUCGAUAAAUUUAGGUAGGUAUCUGAAGUUUUUUUGUAUAUAAUUUAAUAAAAUAUUAAUGAAAAAAUGAUGAAAAGAUAAAAAUAAAACUACAAAUACUAAUUUGAUAUACUUUAAAUUAUAGAAUAUUAAAAUAAGAAAAGCGUGACAUGAGUGAUAUUUGAAAAUUACCCUAUAUUUUAAUUUCAUCUAAAAUAUAAAGUAAGAUAAAUAAAAAAUAUGAAAUAAAUAAUGGACCCGAUGUAGGCAUAUAUGUCGUCGGUGGUGUGCUGGAUGNUAAUCCUAUCCUGUAGUUUUUUUUUUUGUGUGAAUUUUAGUAAUAACAAAAAUGAAAUUAAUAAGAUUAGUGAAAAAAAAAUAUGAGUCGGUCAAUAAGAGAGUUAUAGGAUUAGAAACAAAAAGUUGAUUAUAAAAGGAACUGUUUCGUUCCAUUUCUCUUACUUCUCACUGUCUUUUUUGGGAUCGCAAGCGGUGGGCGUAAAUGGUCCGGAGCAGAGAAAUUGUGACCGUACUUUUAGUAAAUUACACUUUUAGUUCUCAAAUUAUGAGAUACUGAUUAUUUUACUAGUAAAAUUUAAUUCAUUAUAAUUUUUAGCUUAAAUUUUUUAAAAUUAUACAGACCGUUCCUAACGUAAAUGACAAAAGAUUUGAUGGUUGAUACCCGGUGUUUAGUUUGAAUACUAAUUGAUUUAUAUUUCUAGCUAAGUUUAUUCUUAAAUGAAAUAAACGAAUCGGAUAGCAUCCUAUCUAUCUCUUAAAAAAAACAAUUCUGAAUUAUUAUAGUGAAGCAGUCUCACAGUUUAAAUUAAUUUAUUUACUAAAUAUCGAUACGUUUUAAGUCUGAUAGUGAUAUUGUAUCUUAAUUACUAUCAAUCAUCAACCAUAACACUAUUACAUACUUAAUUGGACCAUAAGUUUGAUUGCAUUAAAAUAAAAAAAUUUAAGUAAAAAAUAAUAAAUAAAUUAAAGUUUGAGCACUACCAUCUCACACGCUUUGAAAACCAAAAAUGUUGUCUAGUCAAAAAAACCAUUUGCACUGAUCUUGUUUGCUAGUUAUCCCUAGGGAUUGUGGGAUUGAUUGUUGGAUAUGCAGCCCAUAUUCAUCAACUAUCAAUUGGGAAGAUUACAAAAAAAUUUUCAUGGCAAAUUUCAUCACUUUUUCUCAAUAUUGAAUGAGAAAAAUUUUAAAAAUUUCAAAAUUUUUAAAACAUUUUAAGAUAUAAAAUUUCAAAUUAAGCCUAAAUCCUUAGACCCAAAUUUAAAUACAUAAGAAGGCUUAAUCCCCUGGGCUUAUAAAAAAAAAAAAAAAGAAGAUCAAUUCUGUUUCUUCCAUGCGGUUAAGUGAACUAUUUUACAACCACCAACUUUUAUUCAUUUUUUUUAUUGUGAUAUUUAUUUUUUUGAGAGAUAGGUAGCAAUAUACCCACUUCGUUUACUUCAUUUAGAAAUAAAUUUAGCUGAAAAUGUGAAUCAAUUAGGAUUUGAACUUGAGACUUUUAGAUACCAACUACCAAGUUCCUUACCGCUUGCGUUAGAAACGGUUAGUAAAAUAUGAUUUUUAGGAAUAAAUUACAGUUUUGGUCCUCCAAGUAGAUGGUACGUCAUAUUUAAUCUUCAAACCUUAAUUUACCAUACUUUUUUACCUCGAUUUUUUAUAUUGUUAUAAUCAAAUUCCACAAUAUAGUUUAACGUAUAAAUCAUACAAAAGCAAAUUGAGAAACUGGACACAUUAAUUGAAUCAAAACCUCUAUGGUACAAUUAGCUUGGAAAAUACUGCUUGGCCUAUAGAACAAUUUCUUGUGCAUUAAAUGUAAAUGCUAUGGAACCGCAAUUGCAGGCUCACAUAAAUUAUUUUAUUCACCUAGGUUCUGAUAAAACUGAUGCAGGAGGAACAAACAAAGAGCCUGGACGAUCGUCUCCGCUAGACAUUACUGUACUAGUAGCUACAAAAUCGUAUUCAAGACUAGUUUCCACACCGGUCGCUCCUUCCAGAACCUUCACUACUGUAGACAUCGGAGGCCUUCUACUACUAUCGAUCUGCAGGCACCACAUCGCGAGUUUCAUCAUUUCAAUCACUUCUUCUUCGGGCAACUUUAUAUCUUUGUUGGAACAAUCGACUAUAUCCAACAACCGACCGGCUUUAACUUUCUCUUGCAACAAGCUAAUUAGAUGAAUACUCUCUUCAGGCUGAGAAUAAUCCAAGUUCUUUCUCCCACACAAAAUCUCCAUUACGACGAUACCAAAGCUAUAGAUGUCGACCUUUUCUGUGAUCUUCGAAGUCAACCACUCCGGCGCUAGGUACCCCGGCGUGCCUCUCAUUCGAGUCAUUACCUGGCUUUGAUCUCUGUCGAUUAGCUUCGAUAAUCCAAAAUCGGAUACUUUAGCAUUGAGAUUUUGGUCCAAGAGGAUAUUUUGCGGCUUGAUGUCUAAGUGGGCAAUCUUUUGCCUGCACUCUUCGUGAAGAUACGAAAGACCCCUUGCUAUGUCUAAGAUGAUUUUGCGCCGAGUAUGCCAAUCAAGAAGGGAGAUUCGAUCCGCAUUGAAGAUCCAUUUAUCAAGCGAGCCGUUGCACAUGAAUUCGUAAACAAGAAGCCUAUGCGUUUUCUCAGCACAAAAUCCAACCAUCUUUGCUAGGUUAAUGUGGUGAAUGCUACCAAUAGUCUCAACCUCGGCUAAAAAUUCUUUCCUCCCUUGGCCUAUCCCAUCCAAACGCUUCACGGCGAUCUUUUCGUCGCCAAUUUUCCCCUCGAAAACCGACCCAAAUCCUCCCUCUCCGAGCUUCC